UUCACCUCCUUCAAAAGUGCAACAUGGACUUUAUGAGUUUAGAUUUGGAUACAUAAGUGUAUUUUUAAUCCGACAAGAAGCAAAAGAGAUUUGUGAAGUUUUGCUUAGCAAGAGUGAGCAGGGCAUGAUAAAAAAUAAAAUUGCUGGAGGACAGAGAACAACACAAGAAUUUGAUUUUCAAACUCCCUUAAUCAAAAUAACAGGAUAAAAUGAAAGCCAAAUACACUUGGAAACAAUUACUCUUUUCCUUGCGGGGAAAAGGAAGAUUUGCCUAAAAAGAAGAAAAACCAACCAAAGCUUCAAGAAAUUGCCUGUGGGGAUAAAGAGAUAAAGAAAGAAGAUAUACCGAUUGUGUCUUUGUGGAAGGAAAAGAUAAUACCUGUAUAAUUCUAAAGUACGCUUGAAAACAGUGAGGAGACAGAGGUAAACACAAUCUAGGUGUCUUCUAUAUACACGUACCAGAAGGAACAGCCAAAAAUGCUUUACCUUCAGAAAGUUAGUUAAUUAAAUAAGGCUCUAAAAGAAAAUUGAAAUAGAAAUACGCUUUUUUCACCAAGCUAAUAUAGCCAAUAGAGAAUUAGAAAAUAUUUCACAUAAGCUCUCCCAUGGAAAAAAAAAUUGAUCUUCAUGGAAUUUCUUUUAAAUGCACACUGCUACAGCAAGCUCUGGUGAGAAUGUGACAUGGAUUAGAAAAUGCUUAGAAGCUAUGUCUCUUGAAACAUUUAAAAUAGGAGUAGAUGUAGAACACAGAGUUGGAAAGCUUAGUGAAAGAAGAAUUCCUGCCUUGGCUGAAAUAUUUUCUGGAUGACCUGAGAUGUCUUCUCCCUUCUAAGAAAAUGACAAAAUAAAGUUGUUUCUGGUGUGUACAGUAUUUUUAAUGCACACACUAAUGGUCUAUAGACCUAGAGUCAGAGUACAUUUCUAAAACAUUCUAGCUGACAUGCAAAGUACUUUAACAGCAAAACCCAAAGGAAUGUGGUGUUACCACUGUUAAAAUAUAUGCAGAGAUCUUUUCUUUGAGCAUCCCUGCCUCUGAGGUGGUGCCAGGGCAGUUUGACAGAAAGGUCACCUUUGCAAAAUACCGUGUGCCAGGCACAUAAAAUCUGUCUUUAUGUAGUUGGAUUAUAAACUUACAAAAAACUGCAGUUAUCUUGUGUCCACUUCUCAGGAACCUCUACCACUGAUACUAAAUGCAAUGGCUUCCCUUCUUCAGAACUGGGGACUUUUUCAGAUACACAUUUUUUUUUAUUUAAAAAAAAAGCAAGAAAGAAGUCUGAAGUCAUAACCUUGCCA